rnacentral:rRNA from 1 species
CCUACGGGAGGCAGCAGUGAGGAAUUUUGGACAAUGGGGGAAACCCUGAUCCAGCAAUGCCGCGUGAGUGAAGAAGGCCUUAGGGUUGUAAAGCUCUAGGAAUUCGUGAACGGUACCUAGAGAAUAAGCACCGGCUAACUACGUGCCAGCAGCCGCGGUAAUACGUAGGGUGCGAGCGUUAAUCGGAAUUACUGGGCGUAAAGGGUGUGUAGGCGGGUAGCUAAGUUAGAUGUGAAAUUCCUAGGCUUAACCAAGGGACUGCAUUUAAAACUGGCAAUCUAGAGUGUGGCAGAGGGAGGUGGAAUUCUAUAUGUAGCAGUGGAAUGCGUAGAGAUGUGGAGGAACACCGAUGGCGAAGGCAGCCUCCUAGGCCAAACUGACGCUGAGGCACGAAAGCGUGGGGAGCAAACAGGAUUAGAUACCCUUGUAGUC